ACGAUAAGUAUACUGUUAGUGCGUGUAACCUUUUCUCAGUGGUUAUGUUGGUGUGAUUGGAUACAAUAGCAUGGUACAGCUCUUGAAAGCCGGUCUCAGCUGAAGGUUUGUUGUCUUGUUUCGUUUGCUUUCUUUUGUUCUGUUUUUGUUUUAGGAUGGAGUUUUUUUUUCAAUUAAACAAAGAGAAUGCGUGAAAAUAAACGAUAUAUUAAU
rnacentral:lncRNA from 1 species